UUAGUCCACAGACACAACCUGAAUUCAGCCAAUGAAGCCAUUUUCAUCUCUGAGCCAAGAAGACAGAGAAAACGACACCCCCCGAACCUCUUAUUUGCGCUGCUUAAAACACCAGUUGAAUGCGCCGGUGAUAGGAUGAGCUACCAAAUGCUUGAGGACCGCAGCUGCGCGGUCUCGAUAGCUGAGACAGAUGGAAUGCAAACGGACGUCCUCCCGUAAGCUGGCUUGAUUUUUCAAAGAAGAGCAAAACGAUAGCUCAGCUUCAGCACCUUUGGCCAGUGGCCAGACAGAAAUCACACACACACCCCCAGCAACUAUGAGAAACCGGAGUAGUUGUGGGGAAAGAGGGAAAGUAAGUGGACUGGAGCGACAGUCAGAACUUCAAAAAGUUCAGACAACGCCCUCUGGAGCUGUGGAGCUGGUAGAGCAGGAUGAUGGAAGGUGUCAACCGAAAAGGUGAAGGAGAAUGAAGAGCCGUUGCCUGAAGAUUGCUUCUGCUUCCAUUGUGCCAAGAUCAGCGAUGAAAAUGCACCCCACGGGAAUUGUUCUGUGAGCCUCCGGGCUGUGACUCCAUCUCACAGGCUACAGUGACUCAUUCAAGAGCAGCUGCGAGCUAAGCACUUCCCGAACGGCGUGCGGAGCAGAGACGAAAGUGGAGGGAGGCAGCUCGGGGGAUCCCAGCAUGCAGCUGGGCUGGGGAGAUGCUGGCCUGCCGAAGCUUUGGCAGCUCCUGUGUGGAGGCACGGCUUGCUGAAGGGAGCCUUUUCCCACCAGUGGCUCAAGAGACGGCUCCAUGAAUGAUCACCAUCUUCACUUAUGUGGGGAAGAAGCCAAUGGUUGGAAGGUGCAUUUCACAGAAAACCAAGCUCCACAAGAAAACCAAGGAGUGGCAGCAUGCACGACAGUGGUUUCAGCACCGGAGGUAGCGAAGAAGUGCAGGAAAGAAGGCCACGGAGACCAAGCAGCAGGAAAAUGACAUUAGGGGGACCACCAUGACCUGAACUUCCAAAACUGAAGCAUUUCAGAGUGACAGCUACUACAGGGGAAUGGAGGCUUCUGUGGGUCAUGCUGACCAUUUUGGCAGGAAAAGGAAAUGGACUGGAAUGGGGGGGGAUGCUGUUGAAAAUUCGGGGAGGGGGCCAUGUUAAAAAUCACUUUCCUGUUCAGUUUACCCAAAGGGUCCCUCAAAACUGCCUUGAGAACCCCAUGAGGUUUGUCCAGUUGACGUUGGAGGUUUGUGAACCCUUAAAUAUCCAGAAGAACAUCUUGGGAUUCAAGAUGUUUGCCUGAACAACAGAGACGAAGCCCAUAGUCUGAGGGCAACGGAUAAGCUUGUGUGAGGAACGGCGCACACCCCAUUUCUCCACCUUGGCCACCACACCAGAAAGAAUGAAUUUAUUUUGGCUGAACUGAUGCUUUCGUUGUGUUUCUCAAACUAACUAGGGGACAUAAAUGUACACCAUUUUAGGCAUUUCUCAGAACUUUUUUGUUCUGCGUUGAUGCUCAAAGAGGUUUCCCUUCGUAGUCCACCUGUCAAACAGGUUGGGUUGGAGGUGGUUUGGGGAUUUUCUUUGGUUCUUCCAGAACUGUUUGGCCUACAGCUCCGCUGUAGGUAUGAUGAUAUGUAACUGAGGGUAUCAACGGGCCAGAUGGUAUCCUUUCCUCAUCCAAUGCUAGUAUAGGCCAUCAUUUUCCCAACUCAAAGGCAAGACAAGAAGAAGGCUUCAGCCAUCAAAAGAAGCUGCUUCAGGGACUGAGCCACAAUGGAUACUAUUUAAAUGCUUUGGAGAAAAUGGUGGACUCACUCAGAGCCCUCCGUGGCAUUUUCCACCCAAGGCCAUUCUGUCUGUACCAAUUGCAAACAUUUGUUGCAAAGAUGUGACUUUGUACUUGUUCCGAAAUCUGGCCAACUGGAUUGCUGGAUGUUGAUUUACGCCCAUUGCUUCUAACCAAUGGGAGUUCUAUCUGUAGCACUCUCAUGUAUGUAUCAUCAGUUCUCACUGGUGGAGUGUUACUCUCCCAAGGAGAACCCCAUGAAAAGUUUUCAUGUGACAUAUCAAUAAAACAAUGUCAUCUAUUUUUUAAUAUUUCAAUAACUGGACUGCUGAGCAUAUUUUUAACGGCCGAGCCUAUUUUUAACUGUUGUUGGGUUUCCUCUGUUCUUUGCAUGCUCUAACGAAGAGGGGUGGGCUCUUGAUGUCUCAGCUUCGGAGCUCAAGGCUUCUUAUACAUGGAACCCAUUUUUAUUGUACAGGGGUGUAUUGUUGUCUUGUCCUCACACUAGCGGUGAAUCACAAGAGGCUGUGUCAGCCAGUGUGGUUGUUAGAAUAACAACAUUCUUCUGUUGCUAAGCAAUUGUAGCAAAGAUUGUUCCUUGCAAGAAAAGAAUACCUCCUCUUGCUUUUGUAGAUUUCUACAAUAAAAUAUUAUACUA